GAUGAACGCUGGCGGCGUGCCUAAUACAUGCCAGUCGAGCGAACGGACGAGAAGCUUGCUUCUCUGAUGUUAGCGGCGGACGGGUGAGUAACACGUGGAUAACCUACCUAUAAGACUGGGAUAACUUCGGGAAACCGGAGCUAAUACCGGAUAAUAUUUUGAACCGCAUGGUUCAAAAGUGAAAGACGGUCUUGCUGUCACUUAUAGAUGGAUCCGCGCUGCAUUAGCUAGUUGGUAAGGUAACGGCUUACCAAGGCAACGAUGCAUAGCCGACCUGAGAGGGUGAUCGGCCACACUGGAACUGAGACACGGUCCAGACUCCUACGGGAGGCAGCAGUAGGGAAUCUUCCGCAAUGGGCGAAAGCCUGACGGAGCAACGCCGCGUGAGUGAUGAAGGUCUUCGGAUCGUAAAACUCUGUUAUUAGGGAAGAACAUAUGUGUAAGUAACUGUGCACAUCUUGACGGUACCUAAUCAGAAAGCCACGGCUAACUACGUG
rnacentral:rRNA from 1 species